rnacentral:rRNA from 1 species
UACAGAGGGUGCGAGCGUUAAUCGGAAUUACUGGGCGUAAAGCGUGCGUAGACGGUUAUUUAAGUCGGAUGUGAAAGCCCCGGGCUCAACCUGGGAAUUGCAUUCGAGACUGAAUAGCUAGGGUGCGGUAGAGGGAAGCGGAAUUUCCGGUGUAGCGGUGAAAUGCGUAGAUAUAGGAAGGAAUACCAGUGGCGAAGGCGGCCUCCUGGAUCGAUACUGACGCCGAGGCGCGAAAGCGUGGGGAGCAAACAGG